ensembl:lncRNA
CGGGCUCCCCGUGGGGUCAGGCAAGGCCUGGCUCGGACCAGCCUCACGGUUCAGUUUCUCCCCCACCCCUGCUCCCCUCACUUCUCGUACACAGAGCUCCAGAUCCAGAGCCACUGCUGUGUCCUGUGCACGUGCGUCGCCUCGGCCUAGAACAUCAUUUGCCUGUCCCCUUUGUCUGUGAGGAUACGCAGGGAAGGAAGAAGCCCCUCAGCCCAGCUCCCCAGAGAACAGGCUGCACGUGCCCCCACGUUGCUGGCUCCCGGAUCAUCAUUCACACCCCGACACUGGGGUCUCACUUUGCUUCUCCUCCGCCAGCAGCUUCUGCCCUCUGCCCUCUCUGAGAGGCACAUUCGGGUACCCCAGGAGCGAGCUGCUGAUGGCUCUGCUCAGCUGUCACCACCCCUUCUCAGGCAGAACCUUCCGGCAGGCCUUGCAGGUGCCUCUCCAGCCCACGGGUCGCUGACUUAGAGUCCAGGACCCACCGCCGGUCCAGCAGCUGUGCCCGGAAUGGAGAGUUUGUGGCACGGAGCCCUGGGACAGAAGCACCGGAGGUGAUCAGGGUCUGAGCCGUCCAUGAGAAGGACUGCAUUUCCCAGCCCCCCUUGUGGCCAUGCAGCCCUGAGCCCUGGCCAAUGAGAGCUCCAAGGUUCGGUUCUGGCCCAGGCUCGCCCCACGUCCAUGUCCACACCAUCUCUGACCCUUGCCACCUGUCAACCAAGGGAAAAUCACUACAAUUUAAACAGCAGGUAUUUAUUUGGGCAAUUAGAAUUGCAAUUCGGGAGACAUAGAUUCAGGUAGAAUCCCCAAACACGCUUCAGCUACAGGACAGGGGCUGAGGGUUUUUAUGGGAAAAGGGAGAAUGAGAUGAGUUGUACUAAAGAGUUCAUUGGUUUUCAAUGAGGUAGGACUAGGUUUGUACUUCAUAGGUUGCCUUAAGAUUCGGUCAUCAGGCAAAAGGCUAGACUUGCACUCCGCUGAUUGCUUAGUGAUUCGGUCAUCAGCAAAGUCCAGUUUGAUCAGUCCUUACAAACAGGAUAUUCUCGUCCUUAUCGCCUUCUUGGAAUGUUGGCAGUUUGGAAAAUAAAGAAAAUAAGAUGUGCAAGACAAUUCCUCUGAAAAGGCUGGCUUGGCUGUAUUUUAAUAUGGCUCCACUCAUGUCAUCUUUCACAUUCCCCUCUUGAUCCAGAUCUUUCUCUGAAAGCAUCACUGGUCAAACAUUGGAAAGCAUUGCUGAUCAGCCAUCAAAGGAUCAUUGGUCCCUCAUCACCAGGAAGGCUAACGCCUAGUAUGUCAUGUCCCACGUAGGAGGAAACAUGGUUUCCUUAGGAGCCACAGGCCACAUUUGAGCAACAAGAGGGCCAGGGCAGAGGAUGCCUCUGCUGUCAAGUUCUUUUAAGGGUAAACAUCUCCUGCAGCUCCUUGAAGUUUCCCACGGAGAUUCACAAGCCUUAGUAAUCAUUUCAAAGCACUGAGUGACCAUUAUCGCAGUAGCAUUUUUUACAACAUCCAGCUAUGCAAAGGAGAUAAAAUUUACAACAAUGAGAAUUCCUGUAAUAACAAACAGAAUGCUAAGUCCCAUUUGGAGAUAGACGUGAACCAGGAGGAAAUGCCUGGGGGCAGCAAGCUAAAGAGACUGAAGAACCCAGGGCGAAGAACCCAGGGCAUCAGUAGGCACUACAUUGAACCAUUCGGCUUGUGCCCGAAUUCUGCCUUCCCGAGGUGUUUACCCAACUAAAACAAGAGGUACUUACAGCAGUUACAAAUGUUAGCUCUGAAAUGCCUCGGGGUUAAGUUCUAGACACUCAGCACAAGGAAUUAAGGGAGGAGUGGCAGAGAGCUUGGCAAUUAAAUGUACUAAAGGAUCUGUAGAUUCAGGCACAGGUUGCAGCUUCUGAUGACAAACCCAACAGUCAGAAAGAUUUCCCGGGGCCGGCCUGGUGGCGCCGCAGUUAAGUGCACACGUUCCACUUCUCGGCGGCCAGGGGUUUGCCGGUUCGGAUCCCGGGUGCAGACAUGGCACUGCUUGGCACGCCCUGCUGUGGCAGGCGUCCCACAUAUAAAGUAGAGGAAGAUGGGCAGGGAUGUUAGCUGAGGACCAGUCUUCUUCAGCAAAAAGAGGAGGAUUGGCAGUAGUUAGUUCAGGGCUAAUCUUCCUCAAAAAAAAGAAAGAAAGAAAGAUUUCCCCCUUUUGUAAUAGACUGGGAGAUGUGGAGGGAAUAAGGCAAGAAGCGACAGUGAGUAAAAGGCACACAGGCCUGGUCUGGCCAUCCUGGGAAGCCGUCUGCCUCGGACUGGCUGCUUCUCUUCCUGGUCCAGUGGAUGCGGAGGCCUCCCGCGCUUGUGCAGGACUGAUGUCAGGCGGAGCCUUCUCUAGCUGCGAGAUGUGUCUCUAAGGUUCAGUGCCUUCUAGCUGUGCAGCAGGGUCAGUGCUCAGGAGCUCAUGGUGGGGUCCUUUCCAAUGGGACUCAAGGGCUGUCUUCUGAUGUCACUUCCAGAAUAUCAGUCACCAGGCUCUAGACUGUGACCAACAAGACCCUACAUUGGGAACCAGGAAAACGUCUUUAACCAAACUGUUGAUGAUGAGCUCAAGCAUAAGACAUUAGAGACUCACAGUAGCUGGUGAUACGAGCAUGAGACAACAAGCGAUCAGCAGAAGGUUGUGCACCAACAGGCACUGACCUGCCAGUGACCAUCCCACGUGGGGUCACUUCGUGUUUUCCAAAGGGGGCACUGCAAACAGCAGCGAGACCAAAGGCAGCACCUUAGGCCAGCGGCGUGCAGUCCACAGGUGUAUAACAAAACCUCCAAGACAAUUAACAGGACCAGAAUCCAACAUCUACAAAGAUGCAACAGAAUUUUUCUCUCCCCAAUUACCCUCGUUUUUUUUUUUAACCAAAGAUAAUCACAG